GCCGAUUCAAAACCCUGCACUUUUGUCGGAAAAAUCGCCGGAAGAUAUGGGUUACGGUAAGCAUAGGCGAUCGAGAGGUGGCAAUUCGAAUCCAGGCCAAACCAGUAGGACUGAGAAUCUCGGAAGGGAAGAUGAGUCGCUUCCUCAUGAUCCAGGAUCUGAGGAUGAAGCACCAGUUCCAAAUGUUCAAUUGGCAAUGUGGGACUUUGGUCAGUGUGAUGCAAAGAGGUGCACUGGUCGUAAGCUUGCUAGAUUCAACUUGUUAAAAGAAUUACGGGUGAACACUGGCUUCGGAGGUGUUGUUUUAAGUCCAGUAGGUAGACAAUGUGUUUCCAAGGAAGACUAUAGUUUGAUCAAAAGUAGAGGAUUAGCUGUAGUUGAUUGUUCUUGGGCACGCUUAACCGAUGUCCCCUUUGCUAAGCUGCGUUGCACCGCUCCUCGUCUCUUACCAUGGUUAGUAGCAGCUAACCCAGUGAAUUAUGGAAGGCCUUGUGAGCUUUCUUGUGUGGAGGCUUUAUCUGCAGCUUUAAUUCUGUGUGGAGAGGAGGAGACUGCAAAUCUUUUGCUAGGGAAAUUCAAAUGGGGUCAUGCCUUUUUGUCUCUUAACAAGGAUAUUCUGAAGGAGUACUCGAAAUGCGAGAAUAGUGCUGAGAUCAUCUCAGUGCAAAAUUCUUGGCUUACUCAGCAAACUCAGAUCUCAAAACAACCAGCUCCCCUCAAAGAACAUGUAAGGAAAGAAGGUGAUGAAUCUGAGGAUGAUGAUGAUGGCCUCCCUCCUCUUGAGAGGAACAUGAACCAUAUCAUAUCGGAAGACAGUGAAGAAGAAGAUGAGGAGGAUGAAGAUGAUGGUCUCCCUCCUCUAGAGAGGAACAUGAACCAUGUCAAGUUGGGAGACAGUGAGGAAGAUGAUGACAACAGCGAGUGAAGAAGACAGUGAGGGAUUAGUCUUACACCUGGAGCAGUGUUGUUGAAUCUUGUGGAGUAUAAUACCAUUGGAGGUGUGGCUGAGAAGAUAGCAUCAGCAUAUCAGUUGGUUGUUGCUGAAAACUCAAAUGAAGAAGCUGAGAUGAAGAAAUGCAAGUCUGCAGUUAAACGGAUCAUGAGGAUGGAGAAAAGAUGUUGAAGAAGCUUGCUCUACUGCUAAAGACAACCCCGGAGAGACAAUCACUGGCGAAAGAAUUGGAAGAGGAAGUAAACUCUUUGAGAUAAUGUAUUGAGAAACUUAAACCUGUUCAAGGAAGUAGAAGUUCCCUUGCAAGCCAGCUUAAAGACGCACUAAGUCCAAAUUACAAUAAAUAUAUGUUGUUAGAGUUUUUUUUUUUUUAAAUACAACAUAUAUGUCAUUGUUAUAAGGGCAAUUCUCUCGGAUGGUUCUUUUUAAAUUUUUGUUAUAACUAUAUAAAUGAUUAAAUGUCUCCGCCACUGGCGUAGUUGUCUUUCGUUGUCAGACAUGAAAAAUUGACAUAUAUGUUGAACGGACUUAUGAUUAUGACGUCGUCGAUCUCUUAAUGCUCUUGAUAUUCUAAAGAAUAAAAACUUCUCUGUUUUGUAAUUAUCCCCACAAGAUUCUGAAAGUAGCAUUUCUCCUCUAAACAUUGGACAUCAGACAACUGUAUUAAUUUACAAGUCGGUUACACACAUAGCCAACGAGUUUGUAGAAGAAAAGAAACAUGUAUAUAUAAGUAUAUAUAUCGUUAAGCAGAAAAGAAGCCGUUAGAGACGG